rnacentral:tRNA from 1 species
AGUCCUGUAGCUCAACGGUGGAGCAUCUGUCUUACAAACAGAGGGUUGCGGGUAUCUCCUUCGGAGACGCUACGCGAACAAAUCCUGCCAGAACUACCA